CCUACGGGGGGCUGCAGUAAGGAAUAUUGGUCAAUGGACGAAAGUCUGAACCAGCCAUGCCGCGUGGAGGAUGAAGGUCCUCUGGAUUGUAAACUUCUUUUAUAUGGGACGAAAAAAGGCCUUUCUAGGCCGUCUGACGGUACCAUAUGAAUAAGCACCGGCUAACUCCGUGCCAGCAGCCGCGGUAAUACGGCGGGUGCAAGCGUUAUCCGGAUUAACGGGUGUUUAGGUGGGUUUAUAAGUGAGGAUAGAAAUCUCCGAGCUUAACUUGGAAACUGCCAUUGAUACUAUUAAUCUUGAAUAUUGUGGAGGUUAGCGGAAUAUGUCAUGUAGCGGUGAAAUGCUUAGAUAUGACAUAGAACACCAAUUGCGAAGGCAGCUGGCUACACAUAUAUUGACACUGAGGCACGAAAGCGUGGGGAUCAAACAGGAUUAGAUACCCCGGUAGUC
rnacentral:rRNA from 1 species